CGCUGGCGGCGUGCCUAAUACAUGCAAGUCGAACGGUCUUUUCUAUGGAAGCUUGCUUCCACUGAGAAGAUAGUGGCGGACGGGUGAGUAACACGUGGGUAACCUGCCCAUAAGAGGGGGAUAACAUCCGGAAACGGGUGCUAAUACCGCAUAGUUUUCUUGAUCGCAUGAUUGAGAAAGGAAAGAUGGCCUUUGUGCUGUCGCUUAUGGAUGGACCCGCGGCGUAUUAGUUAGUUGGUGAGGUAACGGCUCACCAAGACGAUGAUACGUAGCCGACCUGAGAGGGUGAUCGGCCACAUUGGGACUGAGACACGGCCCAAACUCCUACGGGAGGCAGCAGUAGGGAAUCUUCCGCAAUGGACGAAAGUCUGACGGAGCAACGCCGCGUGAGUGAAGAAGGUUUUCGGAAUCGUAAGACUCUGUUGUCAGAGAAGAACAAGUUGGAGAGUAACUGCUCCAGCCUUGACGGUAUCUGACCAGAAAGCCACGGCUAACUACGUGCCAGCCGCUGC
rnacentral:rRNA from 1 species